rnacentral:rRNA from 1 species
AGAGUUUGAGUUAUGGCUCAGGAUGAACGCUAGCUACAGGCUUAACACAUGCAAGUCGAGGGGCAGCAUGUUGGUUGCUUGCAACCAAUGAUGGCGACCGGCGCACGGGUGAGUAACACGUAUCCAACCUUCCCUAUAGUAGAGGAUAGCCCGGCGAAAGUCGGAUUAAUACUCUAUGUUUUCCAAUGCAGACAUCUAAAAUGGAAACAAAGGUUCACCGCUAUAGGAUGGGGGAUGCGUCUGAUUAGAUAGUCGCGGGGUAACGGCCCACCGAGUCGACGAUCAGUAGGGGUUCUGAGAGGAAGGUCCCCCACAUUGGAACUGAGACACGGUCCAAACUCCUACGGGAGGCAGCAGUGAGGAAUAUUGGUCAAUGGGCGAGAGCCUGAACCAGCCAAGUAGCGUGCAGGAUGACGGCCCUAUGGGUUGUAAACUGUCUUUUAUACAGGGAUAAAGUGACGUACGUGUACGUUUUUGUAGGUACUGUAUGAAUAAGGACCGGCUAAUUCCGUGCCAGCAGCCGC